GAUGAACGCUGGCGGCGUGCCUAAUACAUGCAAGUCGAGCGAACAGACGAGGAGCUUGCUCCUCUGACGUUAGCGGCGGACGGGUGAGUAACACGUGGAUAACCUACCUAUAAGACUGGGAUAACUUCGGGAAACCGGAGCUAAUACCGGAUAAUAUAUUGAACCGCAUGGUUCAAUAGUGAAAGACGGUUUUGCUGUCACUUAUAGAUGGAUCCGCGCCGCAUUAGCUAGUUGGUAAGGUAACGGCUUACCAAGGCAACGAUGCGUAGCCGACCGGAGAGGGUGACCGGCCACACUGGAACUGAGACACGGUCCAGACUCCUACGGGAGGCAGCAGUAGGGAAUCUUCCGCAAUGGGCGAAAGCCUGACGGAGCAACGCCGCGUGAGUGAUGAAGGUCUUCGGAUCGUAAAACUCUGUUAUUAGGGAAGAACAAAUGUGUAAGUAACUAUGCACGUCUUGACGGUACCUAAUCAGAAAGCCACGGCUAACUACGUG
rnacentral:rRNA from 1 species